rnacentral:lncRNA from 1 species
UAAUCUUCACCUCUGUUUCGGAGAGAAGGUUCUGUCGUGUUAUUGUGUUGUUACCAAUGCUCUGUCGUUUAAGCAAAACAUAAAACUGAGUCUUGUAUUUAAAGUUUUGAAAUCCCGAUUUAGGGUUUCCUUCCUCUUUGCCUCCUCCUCCUCGUCUCCUUCUUCCCCUCUCUAAUGGGCUCACCACUUCCAGAAAAAGCUCUGUCCUACUCCUGUAAGAUCAUUUCUAUAUCUUUACCUCCAAAUUGAUUUUGUAAUAAUACUGUAUAGUUGGUUAAUAUUGCGUUCGCAGGGGCUAGGGCACGCGUCGACGUUUGUUUGCUUUAGAGAUGAUUGGAGAUGUAAUAACUAAUAAAUACAAAAGGGUCGAUUUAAACUUCAAACUGAUUGAAGAACAAAUAUGGUUGACAAAAUUCAAGAACAAAAUACAUUAUUGGGAAAUUAGGAUAAAUUUGUGAUUAGACGUUUUCAUAGUGCUUACAAAUUGAAUUUAUACAGUAAUGUUUUUAUGCAAUCACCCUGUAAUUGGUAUGAAAUCACCCCAUGAUGGGUAUUGACUGAACACAAGAUAGACAAACCUUACAUUUCUUUUUCUGUUUUUUGGUGGUGUGGUAUCUUGAAUAUAUAUUUUUCCAUUUUAUGAUUAUAUAUAAAUGUUAUCUUGGCAAAUGAAAAUAUACACUUAUAAAUAUAAAAUUCAU